rnacentral:rRNA from 1 species
UACGGGGGGGGCAAGCGUUGUUCGGAAUUACUGGGCGUAAAGGGCUCGUAGGCGGCCAACUAAGUCGGAUGUGAAAUCCCCAAGCUUAACUUGGGAACUGCAUCCGAUACUGGAUGGCUUGAAUCCGGGAGAGGGAUGCAGAAUUCCGGGUGGAGCGGUGAAAUGCGUAGAGAUCCGGAGGAACACCGAAGGCGAAGGCAGUCUCCUGGCAAGUUCCUGACGCUCAGGUGCGAAAGCUAGGGGAGCGAACAGG